AGCGCAGGUGGUUUCUUAAGUCUGAUGUGAAAGCCCACGGCUCAACCGUGGAGGGUCAUUGGAAACUGGGGAACUUGAGUACAGAAGAGGAAUGUGGAACUCCAUGUGUAGCGGUGGAAUGCGUAGAUAUAUGGAAGAACACCAGUGGCGAAGGCGACAUUCUGGUCUGUUACUGACACUGAGGCUCGAAAGCGUGGGGAGCAAACAGGAUUAGAUACCCUGGUAGUCCACGCCGUAAACGAUGAGUGCUAGGUGUUGGAGGGUUUCCGCCCUUCAGUGCCGCAGUUAACGCAUUAAGCACUCCGCCUGGGGAGUACGACCGCAAGGUUGAAACUCAAAGGAAUUGACGGGGACCCGCACAAGUAGCGGAGCAUGUGGUUUAAUUCGAAGCAACGCGAAGAACCUUACCUAAGCUUGACAUCCUUUUGACCGAUGCCUAAUCGCAUCUUUCCCUUAGGGGACAGAAGUGACAGGUGGUGCAUGGUUGUCGUCAGCUCGUGUCGUGAGAUGUUGGGUUAAGUCCCGCAACGAGCGCAACCCUUGCCUUUAGUUGCCAGCAUUAAGUUGGGCACUCUAGAGGGACUGCCAGGGAUAACCUGGAGGAAGGUGGGGAUGACGUCAAAUCAUCAUGCCCCUUAUGCUUAGGGCUACACACGUGCUACAAUGGGUGGUACAGAGGGCAGCCAAGUCGUGAGGCCGAGCUAAUCCCUUAAAGCCAUUCUCAGUUCGGAUUGUAGGCUGAAACUCGCCUACAUGAAGCUGGAG
rnacentral:rRNA from 1 species